rnacentral:rRNA from 1 species
GGUUAAGCGACUAAGCGUACACGGUGGAUGCCCUGGCAGUCAGAGGCGAUGAAGGACGUGCUAAUCUGCGAAAAGCGCCGGCGAGGUGAUAUGAACCUUUGACCCGGCGAUGUCCGAAUGGGGAAACCCAGUGUGUUUCGACACACUAUCGUUAACUGAAUACAUAGGUUAACGAGGCGAACCGGGGGAACUGAAACAUCUAAGUACCCCGAGGAAAAGAAAUCAACCGAGAUUCCCCCAGUAGCGGCGAGCGAACGGGGAGCAGCCCGGAGUCUGAAUCAGUUUGUGUGUUAGUGGAACGGUCUGGAAAGUCCGACGGUACAGGGUGAUAGUCCCGUACACGAAAAUGCACAUGCUGUGAACUCGAAGAGUAGGGCGGGACACGUGGUAUCCUGUCUGAAUAUGGGGGGACCAUCCUCCAAGGCUAAAUACUCCUGACUGACCGAUAGUGAACCAGUACCGUGAGGGAAAGGCGAAAAGAACCCCGGCGAGGGGAGUGAAAAAGAACCUGAAACCGUGUACGUACAAGCAGUGGGAGCCUCUUUAUGGGGUGACUGCGUACCUUUUGUAUAAUGGGUCAGCGACUUAUAUUCUGUAGCAAGGUUAACCGUAUAGGGGAGCCGAAGGGAAACCGAGUCUUAACUGGGCGUUAAGUUGCAGGGUAUAGACCCGAAACCCGGUGAUCUAGCCAUGGGCAGGUUGAAGGUUGGGUAACACUAACUGGAGGACCGAACCGACUAAUGUUGAAAAAUUAGCGGAUGACCUGUGGCUGGGGGUGAAAGGCCAAUCAAACCGGGAGAUAGCUGGUUCUCCCCGAAAGCUAUUUAGGUAGCGCCUCGUGAACUCAUCUUCGGGGGUAGAGCACUGUUUCGGCUAGGGGGCCAUCCCGGCUUACCAACCCGAUGCAAACUACGAAUACCGAAGAAUGUUAUCACGGGAGACACACGGCGGGUGCUAACGUCCGUCGUGAAGAGGGAAACAACCCAGACCGCCAGCUAAGGUCCCAAAGUCAUGGUUAAGUGGGAAACGAUGUGGGAAGGCACAGACAGCCAGGAUGUUGGCUUAGAAGCAGCCAUCAUUUAAAGAAAGCGUAAUAGCUCACUGGUCGAGUCGGCCUGCGCGGAAGAUGUAACGGGGCUAAACCAUGCACCGAAGCUGCGGCAGCGACGCUUAUGCGUUGUUGGGUAGGGGAGCGUUCUGUAAGCCGUUGAAGGUGGCCUGUGAGGGUUGCUGGAGGUAUCAGAAGUGCGAAUGCUGACAUAAGUAACGAUAAAGCGGGUGAAAAGCCCGCUCGCCGGAAGACCAAGGGUUCCUGUCCAACGUUAAUCGGGGCAGGGUGAGUCGACCCCUAAGGCGAGGCCGAAAGGCGUAGUCGAUGGGAAACAGGUUAAUAUUCCUGUACUUGGUGUUACUGCGAAGGGGGGACGGAGAAGGCUAUGUCAGCCGGGCGACGGUUGUCCCGGUUUAAGCAUGUAGGCGGAGGUUCCAGGUAAAUCCGGUACCUUGUUAACGCUGAGGUGUGAUGACGAGGCACUACGGUGCUGAAGUGAUAAAUGCCCUGCUUCCAGGAAAAGCCUCUAAGCAUCAGGUAACACGAAAUCGUACCCCAAACCGACACAGGUGGUCAGGUAGAGAAUACCAAGGCGCUUGAGAGAACUCGGGUGAAGGAACUAGGCAAAAUGGUGCCGUAACUUCGGGAGAAGGCACGCUGAUAUGUAGGUGAAGCCCCUGCGGGCGGAGCUGAAAUCAGUCGAAGAUACCAGCUGGCUGCAACUGUUUAUUAAAAACACAGCACUGUGCAAACACGAAAGUGGACGUAUACGGUGUGACGCCUGCCCGGUGCCGGAAGGUUAAUUGAUGGGGUUAGCGGCAACGCGAAGCUCUUGAUCGAAGCCCCGGUAAACGGCGGCCGUAACUAUAACGGUCCUAAGGUAGCGAAAUUCCUUGUCGGGUAAGUUCCGACCUGCACGAAUGGCGUAAUGAUGGCCAGGCUGUCUCCACCCGAGACUCAGUGAAAUUGAACUCGCUGUGAAGAUGCAGUGUACCCGCGGCAAGACGGAAAGACCCCGUGAACCUUUACUAUAGCUUGACACUGAACACUGGUCCUUGAUGUGUAGGAUAGGUGGGAGGCUUUGAAGCGUGGACGCCAGUCUGCGUGGAGCCGCCCUUGAAAUACCACCCUUUAAUGGCUGGUGUUCUAACGUAGACCCGUAAUCCGGGUUGCGGACAGUGUCUGGUGGGUAGUUUGACUGGGGCGGUCUCCUCCCAAAGAGUAACGGAGGAGCACGAAGGUUGGCUAAUCCUGGUCGGACAUCAGGAGGUUAGUGCAAUGGCAUAAGCCAGCUUGACUGCGAGCGUGACGGCGCGAGCAGGUGCGAAAGCAGGUCAUAGUGAUCCGGUGGUUCUGAAUGGAAGGGCCAUCGCUCAACGGAUAAAAGGUACUCCGGGGAUAACAGGCUGAUACCGCCCAAGAGUUCAUAUCGACGGCGGUGUUUGGCACCUCGAUGUCGGCUCAUCACAUCCUGGGGCUGAAGUAGGUCCCAAGGGUAUGGCUGUUCGCCAUUUAAAGUGGUACGCGAGCUGGGUUUAGAACGUCGUGAGACAGUUCGGUCCCUAUCUGCCGUGGGCGCUGGAGAAUUGAGGGGGGCUGCUCCUAGUACGAGAGGACCGGAGUGGACGCAUCACUGGUGUUCGGGUUGUCAUGCCAAUGGCACUGCCCGGUAGCUAAAUGCGGAAGAGAUAAGUGCUGAAAGCAUCUAAGCACGAAACUUGCCCCGAGAUGAGUUCUCCCUGAGACUUUAAGUCUCCUGAAGGAACGUUAAAGACGAUGACGUUGAUAGGUCGGGUGUGUAAGCGCAGCGAUGCGUUGAGCUAACCGAUACUAAUGAACCGUGAGGCUUAACCUU